UCCUCUGUAGUUCAGUCGGUAGAACGGCGGACUGUUAAUCCGUAUGUCACUGGUUCGAGUCCAGUNNGAGGAGCCA
rnacentral:tRNA from 1 species